rnacentral:rRNA from 1 species
UGAGGAAUAUUGGUCAAUGGACGAAAGUCUGAACCAGCCAUGCCGCGUGAAGGAAUAAGGCCCUAUGGGUCGUAAACUUCUUUUGUAUGUGAGCAAUAAGGUCCACGAGUGGUCCGAUGAGAGUAGCAUACGAAUAAGCAUCGGCUAACUCCGUGCCAGCAGCCGCGGUAAUACGGAGGAUGCGAGCGUUAUCCGGAUUUAUUGGGUUUAAAGGGUGCGCAGGCGGCGCGAAAAGUCAGCGGUCAAAGUUCCGGGCUCAACCCGGUGACGCCGUUGAAACUUUCGGGCUGGAGUUCGUGCGAGGGAGGCGGAAUGCGUUGUGUAGCGGUGAAAUGCAUAGAUAUGACGCAGAACCCCGAUUGCGAAGGCAGCUUUCCAGCACGCGACUGACGCUGAGGCACGAAAGCGUGGGGAGCGAACAGGAUUAGAUACCCUGGUAGU